UACGGAAGGCAGCAGUGGGGAAUAUUGCACAAUGGGCGCAAGCCUGAUGCAGCCAUGCCGCGUGUAUGAAGAAGGCCUUCGGGUUGUAAAGUACUUUCAGUCGUGAGGAAGGUGUUAAGGUUAAUAACCUUAGCAAUUGACGUUAGCGACAGAAGAAGCACCGGCUAACUCCGUGCCAGCAGCCGCGGUAAUACGGAGGGUGCGAGCGUUAAUCGGAAUUACUGGGCGUAAAGGGCACGCAGGCGGUUAAUUAAGUUGGAUGUGAAAUCCCCGGGCUUAACCUGGGAAUGGCAUUCAAGCUGGUUAGCUAGAGUCUUGUAGAGGGGGUAGAAUUCCAUGUGUAGCGGUGAAAUGCGUAGAGAUGUGGAGGAAUACCGGUGGCGAAGGCGGCCCCUGGACAAAGGACUGACGCUCAUGUGCGAAAGCGUGGGGAGCGAAACAGGGAUUUAGAUACC
rnacentral:rRNA from 1 species